AUUCAGAGAAGUGCCAAAAUGUAGCUUUCUUCAUUCCAAAGAAGCAUCUGGCUUUGGACUUCCCAACCAGUUUGCAAGAUUGGAGCCAUGGAUCAGAAGAACUUUUAGGAUUCAGAGGAGCAGAUGGAGCAAGACAGCAGAAUAGAAAGCUCCACUGAUUGAUUGUCCCCUGUAAGGACACCAAGUUACAACUACAUACACAGAGAAAAACACCUGCAUAAGAACCAAAAUCAGGUGAGCAUUCAUAG
rnacentral:lncRNA from 1 species